ACCUCUGUGUGUUUGCAUCUUUCUUAUCAGGAUGGUGUCACAAGGCCACAACCACUAGCUGUAAGCGAGGUUGGGAAAGCCUCUCUGAUGGAGUUGGAUUAAUACCCACUGGGAUCACCACCAGAAGAAACCAAAGAAUGAAAACAGCAACUACUAAUGCCAGGAGGACAGAGCCCAAAUAAGAAGAAACUCCAUGUAGAAUGAAAGCUGCAGGAUGCUCUUUUUACCUUCCAUCUAUGGGAUUUGGUCAGCCUUACAAGCAUGGAGAUCACCUUCAAAUAAAUCAGACUAGAGACAAUAAUGCAACAGAGACGCCAGACUCACAAAUAAGCCUCUACGGCAGCACAAUCCCAGGGAUCUCUUACAUUUUCUUUAAGAAGCUGAGAUGCCUUGGUUCCACUGGGCCCUAGUAACAAUAAAGAAAAUGCUGUUGAAUUUAUGGUUACAUUUCAUCUACUUAAAAAGCCUGGAGAGGAAUUUUUUUUUUUUUAAUAAAUAAAUAAAAGAAAACACACUUGGUUCUAACAGAGGCACUCUGCUUUUAAGCAGAUGCACAUUCAGUUGCAGACUUUGUUUUCUCCCCCAAUUAGUGUCCAAAUGAGUAACUCACAAUUUCCAUUUGCAUGGUUCAUUUUGUUUCCCAAUGAAGUAAAUGAUUAUUUCUUGGUUCAAAGAAAGUCUUUUCAAGGACGCCAAACACUGAUAGCAUUCUAAUCCUUGUAAAUUAAAAACUUUUGCUUACAGUAAUAAAAUCAACAUUUGGACUGAGAUUCCAGAGUGUUUGCCUUUUUAUCCCCAUCAGCCCUGGCGUAUACAUAGGUCACUCAAGGGCCUAAUCUACCUUAGGCGUGCUCAGAAAAACUGAUGGGGCAACC
rnacentral:lncRNA from 1 species